ACUGACUCAGCCAGGAGCAGCUCCAACUGGAACGCCAGGGCAGAGGGGAAAACAGCAGGGAGGUGAGAGACACUCCUCCAGCACUAUUCAGCACUUCCAUUUUUCAUCAGCCAAGCACUCUGCUUUCUCCCCUUGCAGUGAACUCUUGGGUGCCAGUGAAGUCAGAGGGAUCUGUGCCUGUGGCCUCAGUGGGGAACAGGAUUUGGCCUGAAGCUGCAAAACUGCCACCUGAAAUUUUAACCAAAGAGAAGGAGAAAUUAAGACAGGGGAGCGUCCAUAACAAGGUGGCUUUGCCCUUCUGCAGUGCUCCCUGUACUGGAGGUCCUACCUGAUGGGUGUAGGAAGGCACAAGAGAACCUGUCCACAGUUCAGCUGAGUCAAAUUUAGGCCUGACUGUGAGGACUUGGUGAAAGCCAGGAGAAAAAGACCUGGAGGAAGAACAGGUCAUGAUCAAGAGUCUACUGUCAGUCCUCAGACAUUUCUGUGAGCUUCAAUGGAGGUUAAAUGCCCUGUGCAGAUACACCUUUCUAUAGAUGUUUCUUACAGUAAAAUACUUUUAAAAUUAAAAAAGAAAAAUAUUGCCCUGAAGAAAAUAACCCUUA